rnacentral:rRNA from 1 species
AUACGGAGGGUGCAAGCGUUGUUCGGAAUCACUGGGCGUAAAGGGCGCGCAGGCGGUUUGGUAAGUCAGAUGUGAAAGCCCACGGCUCAACCGUGGAAGUGCAUUUGAAACUGUCAGACUUGAGUACUAGAGGGGAAAGUGGAAUUCCCGGUGUAGAGGUGAAAUUCGUAGAUAUCGGGAGGGAUACCGGUGGCGAAGGCGACUUUCUGGCUAGAUACUGACGCUGAGGCGCGAAAGCGUGGGGAGCAAACAGGAUUAGAAACCCUUGUAGUCC